rnacentral:rRNA from 1 species
GACGAACGCUGGCGGCGUGCCUAAUACAUGCAAGUCGAGCGCAGGAAGCCGUCUGAACCCUUCGGGGGGACGACGGUGGAAUGAGCGGCGGACGGGUGAGUAACACGUAAAGAACCUGCCCAUAGGUCUGGGAUAACCACGAGAAAUCGGGGCUAAUACCGGCUGUGUCAUCGGACCGCAUGGUCCGCUGAUGAAAGGCGCUCCGGCGUCGACCAUGGAUGGCUUUGCGGUGCAUUAGCUAGUUGGGGGGGUAACGGCCCACGAAGGCGACGGUGCAUAGCGGGCCUGAGAGUGUGAUGGGCCACACUGGAAGUGAGACACGGCCCAGACUCCUACGGGAGGCAGCAGUAGGGAAUCUUCCACAAUGGACGAAAGUCUGAUGGAGCCACGCCGCGUGAACGAUGAAGGCUUUCGGGUCGUAAAGUUCUGUUGUAAGGGAAGAACAAGUGCCGCAGGCAAUGGCGGCACCUUGACGGUACCUUGCGAGAAAGCCACGGCUAACUACGUGCCAGCCGCCGCAGUAAGAC